rnacentral:tRNA from 1 species
GGAGAAGUGUCUGAGUGGUUUAAAGAGCUCGAUUGCUAAUCGAGUGUAUGUUUUAUGCAUACCGAGGGUUCGAAUCCCUUCUUCUCCU